rnacentral:rRNA from 1 species
AUUGAACGCUGGCGGCAGGCCUAACACAUGCAAGUCGAGCGGAUGAAGGGAGCUUGCUCCUGGAUUCAGCGGCGGACGGGUGAGUAAUGCCUAGGAAUCUGCCUGGUCGUGGGGGAUAACGUCCGGAAACGGGCGCUAAUACCGCAUACGUCCUGAGGGAGAAAGUGGGGGAUCUUCGGACCUCACGCUAUCAGAUGAGCCUAGGUCGGAUUAGCUAGUUGGUGGGGUAAAGGCCUACCAAGGCGACGAUCCGUAACUGGUCUGAGAGGAUGAUCAGUCACACUGGAACUGAGACACGGUCCAGACUCCUACGGGAGGCAGCGGUGGGGAAUAUUGGACAAUGGGCGAAAGCCUGAUCCAGCCAUGCCGCGUGUGUGAAGAAGGUCUUCGGAUUGUAAAGCACUUUAAGUUGGGAGGAAGGGCAGUAAGUUAAUACCUUGCUGUUUUGACGUUACCAACAGAAUAAGCACCGGCUAACUUCGUG